UUUCAGAUUGAGUCAACCAAUUCUGAAGCUGUUUCCCAAUCAAGGACCAAUGCAAUGUAUCUUAGGCUUGCAGAUGGAAAUUGCAGGGAUAUUCUAUGGAGGCAAGCCAGAAAAGGCCUCUGCUCCCCAGUGGUUGACUCUAAAGAUGUGUCAUUUUCACAUAACAGCAAAAAUGUUUCUAAUCAGGAAAUUCUGCAAGUGGCAACGUGGGUCGAUUCCAUGUGUGUCACAAGAGCUGGUGUAAGCCCACGUCUGUGGUAAAGCAUUGUUUCCAUCGGAACUGAAGCUCUUGGAACUGUGCAGCGUUCCUGCUGCAAACAGGACAAGAUAAAGAACAGUCUUCACUUAGAAGUUGGUCUCUCAUUUCCCAUCAUAGCUCACACAGUGUCAAUGAGGUUAUGAGAAACAGAUAUUCAUCCACUAAUGAUGGGAGUACAUCAUCAUCAUUCCUGUUGACCCAGGAAUUCCACUUCUGAAAAUUAACACACAGGUGUACAAAAUGGCACAUGCGCACAGUUACUAAUUACAACAAGGUACAUAGUAGCAAAAAUACCAGAAACAGCCUGAUUUCCAGCUCCAAGAAAAUAUUUAAUCUAUAAUAAUGCUUAAAAUAGACUCUAUGUAACUGUUAACAACUUAUUUCCCUAUAUACUGAAAGCUUCCUGGAACUUAUUUAGCAGGUGAUAAAAACAAGGUACAGAUGUGGCAUGUCACCUUUUUUUUAAAAGUGGGGGUCUUUAUUCAUGCUUCUUUCAUAUUUCCCUAAAACACACUGCUGAAGACUCAUAAGAAACCAUAUCAACCUAGAGAAGGUGUGUGUUGCAUGAGAAAACCAAGGUUAGCAAGAUCCAGAUGGGACAAGACUUCUCAAUAAAAACAUCCUUGGAAUAGUAUUUUUGACUUUGAAUUAUGAAAAUACAUUGACUGUUAACAUCAAAAAUAACCAUCUCAAAAAAAAAAUGUUUAACCUAGUGGCUCUGUUUGGGGCAUCAAGCAAUUACCACACUUCUUAGAUGAUAGAGACUCUCCAGAGACUUCCACCAGUCCAUUUAUGUGUCCUGGUGGUGACAACAAUGCAAGCUACUGACUGUCAUCACAAUUUUAGGCACAUAUGGAAAUACAGCAGACAGUCCCUGAGGCUGUGGACUGGAAACUGAAGAGCUGAGUUCUAGUCCUGCCUUAUAUACAUCCUAUUAAAUUGAUGCCAUAAAU